ACCCCCGGCGGGGCGGGGGGAUGGUGAACUGCCACCUACGAACUGUGCCCCGGGGCGGGGACUGUCGAGGAGGAGGUGCUGCACCGGAGGGAGAAGGAGUAGCAAAGGCUGGGGAACAAAAGAAGAGUCACUUUAACUGCUUACUCAGCAGAGGAGAGGUUGGAGAAAGUGGAAAGGACCCAACGAAGCAUGAAUACCCUCUCCCACAGCCACGCUGUCUGCUAAGAGAACAAACAUCUGCAGCACAACAACAAUUAAUGUUUCUCGCAAAAAUUAAAAAAAAAAAAUCACAGAUAUUUCUGAAUGUAAAUCUGAAGUAAACUUAAAUCACACGUGACAGUUCUGAAAGCUCAGAGUUGACAGCGGUGAUGUGAAUGGGAUGAAGAACACAGCACCUCGCAGCCAAAUCCAUCGCUUGUCCCUCAGUCCAUCAAAGAAAUGGGACUUGCUACUACAUUUUUAAUUCUAUAUUUAUCUUGGUCUUCAAAACUGGAAAAGAACAAGGUAACAGGAUUGUAGGAGAGUUCCAUGACAGCCCAGAAAAGGAGCAGAUUUUCCCCAGAGACUUUUAUGAUUGAAGGCUUGAUGCCUUGUGGCAGGAAGAAGUCGCUGGGAGUCUCCACGAGUACCAGAGGGCUGGUACCCUGGGAGGCAGCGGGUGCUAAGCGCAGUCUGUAAGGUGUGAGGAAGAAGUGAGAGAGAAAGACACCGUCUGAGGAUUUUCAGUUUCAUUAUGUUAAGUUUUCUAGUUCUUUGUACUCCAUCCUCACAUAAGUCCAUGCCAGGGUAAAAAUACAGAAAGAAUUAAGCAGUGGUUAGCUGGAAAGCUAGAGUGCAAACAGAGUAGGAUCCCUCAUGUUAAGAAAUCAGCCUGUAAUCGUCCAUCAUCAAGGUGCACAUUUCUCACCUAAUCUUUUUUUUUUUUUUUUUUUCCUCUUUACCAGUACACAGGAAUUGCACUGCCACACCACUCCCUAGGAAAUAAAGGGUACAGCAUGACCCCACCCACAAAUAAAAUACUAGAAAAGCC